rnacentral:lncRNA from 1 species
AAAACGUUUUAACCUUUGUUUCUAAGGAAAAAAAAAACUUUAUUAUUCUCUCAACUCACACACCCCAGCUGAAGGCCAAACUUCAACCACUCUAAAGUCCGACUAUGGCGAACGGAAUCGAGCCCUCCGAUGACGUGAAUGCAACUCCAGUGAGUCCCCCUCUUUUCUCUUAUACGCGUUUAUAUUAAAUCUGAAUGAAAAAGGAAAAAAAAGCAUAAAUAAAUUACAGUAAUAACCACCUUAGAAGUAUAUUUUGACUGCUUUCUAUUAAUCUUUGUAUGUAUUUUGUAUACACUUUAUCUGAAAAAAGAAUGAAAAAUCAAAAAAAAAACCCUAUACAAUGAAAAAUUUGAAGGCUUUAUAGCCAAAUACAAACAGUUACUUGCUACUCUCUCGCUCAAGUUGCAGAUCGUGGAGGAGAGCGUCAUGGGGCAUGAUGCAUGCUACACACUGGCUAGGAGUCGUGCUUGAUGUGCCGACGUGCGUGGUGGAGAGGUGCUGAUGGUUGUGAAUGGAGAACGUGGGCACAUGGUGAAGGGAGGCAGUUUCCUUCUUUGCUGGAAAGAGAGAAAAAAAAUUGUGUGGGCUAAGGGUUUUUUAAAAUUUGGGCUUUUGUUUAUUUGGACUUAUUUAAUAUUUUGUUUGUUUCUUUUUUUUUUGGUUUUUGUAUGUUAUGGGCCCGGGUUAAAAAUUGGGUCUACAACUGUCUCUCUUUGCUCGUUGUUGUGUAACAAGAACGGAACAAAGACCUAAAAGGAUCAAUUUUGCCCGGUCUUGCUGAAUCUUUGACUUUUUUGGUGCUCAUCUUCUUCAAGUAGUCUUACAACAACUUCAAGAAGAUAAAGUUUGUGACUUCAACCUGUUCCACUGCAACUUCAGGGAGACAAAGCCGGUGGCUAAAAUCUGCUCCAUAGUAGAUACAUGGAGACAAGACUCGCCAUCUUCGAUCUGCUCCAUAGCCGAUACAUGGAGAUAAGAUCUGUAACUUUCAGUCUGCUUCCUGCAACUUCAAGAAGAUAAGACCUAUAUCUUCAACCUGCUCUCUUGCUACCUUAGAGAGAUAAGGCUGGUGGCUAAAAUCUGUUCCAUAUUCGAUACACAACCUGUUCUCUUGCUAUCUCAGAGAGAUAAGACUGGUGGCUAAAAUCUGCUCCAUAGCCGAUACACAACCUGCUCUCUUGCUACCUCAGAGAGAUAAGGCUGGUGGCUAAAAUCUGCUCCAUAGUCGAUACAUGGAGAUAAGACUCGCCAUCUUCGAUCUGCUCCAUAGCCGAUACAUGGAGAUAAGAUCUGUAAUUUUCAGUAUGCUUCCUGUAACUUCAGGAAGAUAAGACUUGUAUCUUCAACCUGCUCUCUGUAACUUCAGAGAGAUAAAACUGGUGGCUAAAAUCUGCUCCAUAGCCGAUACAUGGAGAUAAGACUCGUCAUCUUCGAUCUGCUCCAUAGUCGAUACAUGGAGAUAAGAUCUGUAAUUUUCAGUCCGCUUCCUGCAACUUCAGGAAGAUAAGACUUGCAUAUUGAGCCUGCUUUACUGCAACUUCAGAGAGAUAAGGCUGGUGGCCAAAAUCUGCUCCAUAGCCGAUUCAUGGAGAUAAGACUCAUCAUUUUUGAUCUGCUUCAUAACCGAUACAUGGAGAUAAGAUCUGAAAUCUUCGGUCUGCUUCCUGCAACUUCAGAAAGAUAAGACCUGUAUCUUCGACCUGCUCUCUGUAACUUCAGAGAGAUAAGGCUAGUGGCUAAAAUUUGCUCCAUAGCCGAUAUAUGGAGAUAAGACUCGCCAUUUUUUAUCUUCUCCAUAGCCGAUACAUGGAGAUAAGAUCUGAAAUCUUCGGUCUGCUUCCUGCAAUUUCAGAAAGAUAAGACCUGUAUAUUCAACCUGCUCUCUGCAACUUCAGAGAGAUAAGGCUGGUAUCUUCACCGAUGUCGCUACACUGUCCUCUGGGACAUGUCCUGUAGACUCGGUUUCAUAUAUCUAUGCUUAUGCCAAAUAAUUAGGAUGCUAUGACCGAAAUGAAUCAAAUGCUCCUAACUAGAUGUGAUGCUUAUGUCAAAUAAUUAGGGUGCUAUGAUUGAAAUGAAAUCAAAUGCUCUUAACUAGAUGUGCUAUUGUAUGAAUGCAGAAAUGUCAUAAGAAUGAUUCCUUUUUAAAAUCUUAAAGUGUCAUCACUCGCUAUCCAUUAGAGUUUUUUCACUGUCGUAUUAUACUGUCUUCCUGUUCGACUAGCAUUUCCAACGAAAACCCAUAGAAACAACCCAUUUUGCUUAACUGACUUGCCCCACUGUAGUUUCAAAAUCUCUUCCACUGUACCUUCUGGGACAUAGGGUUUGUAUCUCCCAGUGCAACUUUAGAGGAAUAAUCAUUUGAUUUCUUCUAUCCAUCUUGCUGCAACUCAGAGGUAUAGGAUUUGCAUCAUCUUCAAUCAAUUUGAUCUGUUACACCAUUCCCUGGGUAUAAUGAAAAGAUGUAUAUGCCUGAUAUCUGCAUUAAUACAGAAUACCAUUUUCUUUUUCUUGAGAAUAAUCUCAUUACUCGUUCUUUACCAGGAUUACGACACCAAUGUAAUUUUUUGGUCAACCAAUGUCUUUGAUAGGAAACCUAAGGAGAUAAUUUCAAUUCGGGCUUAAAUAUUUCCAACCCUCAAGCUUGGUGAGUAGACAAUAGUCCCGUUUCAGGUUCUUAUAUUAUUUAGAAACGUCCAGAGUAAUAUGCGAAACUCUUUUUAUGAAAGUGUUAUUAGUCCAUUAAUCAUUAUUUCAAUACAAAAUGCUUGAAAAAAAAUCAUAACAACGGACCAGAAACAUAGCUCGAAGCAAGUAAGUUAACCAAUGAUGGCAAAAUGCAAUUAAGAAGGAAAUUUAUUGGGAUGUAUAUUGAAAAUAAUAAGAUAAUAAAAAAUAUCGGAUUCAAAAAUAGGUAAAAUGAAAAACUAGGUUCCCCAGAUAUCGCAGCUUGGGCUUCUUUGUACCAACUUCUUUAGGACCACUUUGAGCUCAAUUCGUGUUUAGGAGAUCUAUAGUACUUUAUCGAUGCCCCAAGACAUAACGUACCUCCUCUUCAUUGAUUCCAGCAUAGCAAUAUUACCAUAUGCCUCAUCUUUGGUCAAAAUUUGAAUUGCCUUUUUCGGGUUUUCAAUUCAAAACCCUUUGGUCUCAAGGCGCCCUUUGCGGGUUUUCGCCUUAGCCUCUCCUUUUUCUUUUCCUUUUCUUUUUUUGCGUUUUUUUAAAACUAUUAACUGUGACUGAAUCUGAGUUCACCGGAUUGGGUAGGUCCUUUCCAUCUAUUUCGUUCAAUAUCAAUGCUCCUCCAGAAUAGGCAUUCUUUACUACAUAAAGUUCCUCUCAAUUUGGCAUAUUUCUUCCUUUGAAAUCUUUCUAUAUAGGAAUGAUCUUCUACAAUAUCAAGUUCCCCUCAUGGAAUUCUCUAGGAUAAACUUCUUUGUCAUAAGCCCACACCAUUUGACUGUGGCGAACAUUCCUUAAAUUCGACUGUACAUAUCGAGAUCAGAUUCAUUCUGCCUCAUCUCAUUUUAAUUCUGACAAGACUCAGAGAAAAAGAAUCUUGUUUUCAAAACCAUUUUUAUCCCAUAAACUAAUGAGCAAUUUGUUGCCCCAGCAAAGAUCCUGGUUAACAUUCAAUAAGCAUAGAGGGUAAAUGGUAACUUCUUCAUGCCAAUCCUUACAAGUAUCGGUCACCUUCUACAAUCUCUUUUUGUUGUUUUUGUUUUUGUUUUUUCCUUCUCUUUUUUGUUUUUUCUUUUGGCCGCCUUUGCUGUAUUAGGAUAUGACGUCUUUUUUUUAACAAACUGUAAACUUUUGACAUUGUGCAGUUGUAUUAGGCAUGAUCUUUUCUGACAUUACUUGUCGGCACUCUUUUUUUGAAAUUUGACGACUACCGAUCUUGUAAUAUUGGCAUAGAAGUGACCCUCACCCUCUUCAUGAAGUCAUCGAAGACCACCAAGAUAAAUUGAAGCAUAUUAGAUGAGAAUAGCCUGAUAACAUCCAUGCCCCACAUAUAGAAAAUCUAUAAAGAAAUGAAUAAGGCAUAUGAAUAUUGUCUCACUAAAUAGCUUAUGCAAUCCCCUUCCAUGGUGGAUCAAUAGUACCCAAACCUCAUGAUUAGCGUGGCUACCAUAAAACUAUUAACAUGUGUCCGUCUGACACCGUAUAGACAUUUUCCAUCCUCAAGUCUUAGUAUCCCAGGUAUAUCUUGACAUGAUUAUGCGAAGACAUCUUUGAAUUCAUGGAGUAUACCCAAUAGCGAUUCGCUUUGUCUUCAUGGUAAUCCAGGCACUGAUCUUUACCUCUUGCUCAUAAUGUCCACUAACCCCUUGUAGAGUAGGAUCUAUUUUUUAUCAUGUUCUACCAUCCUUAACAAAUCAGGAGAUAAGCUACAAUCUCUAUCAUCUUUCAAAGUCCUGAGAUCCGCUUAAACACAUAUCUCACUCCAAAAGGGAGUCAGUUACAGCGUUGCUCCUGUCGUUGAUAUUUGGGGACCUAUUGUAGGUAUAAAGGCAUACUUUCCAAGAAUAAAUGAUUCUAAGGAUGAUUAUUUGUAAGAUAUAAUCAUUAAUGAAGCAUAUUUAAAAGACAGUCCAAAGAACAAAAGAAUAUAUAAAGAAUGAAAGAAUAUUUGCUUAAAAAGAAUGCAUUUUAUUGAAAUAAAAAAUUUGGGAGCAAGCCUAUUUCACAAAAGGAUUCUUAUUGGUUCUAGGCCUAAAGCAAAAAGCGUGUUUUGAAUAUUACUCUUGAUUAGCUCUAAAAAUACAGGGAUCUCUUCCCCAGUCCCAUUGCUCAAAACACUCCCAAGUACAUAAGGGUUUGGAAAUUUUCAUUUCCUGGUUCCCUCUUCAGAUAUAUCAUUCAGAUGUUUAGAAUACUUACCAAACGUUUCGUUGUAAACAAACUAUAUUACAAAUUGACCCGCAUACUUGCGGACACGGCUGCUUAAUUUUAUAUCUUUUUGUUGUAGCAUUUCUAGUCCAGAUGUUUGCGUGUCUAACAACAGUGAAGUUGUUGGUGCCGUUGUUGGGGAUUGUGGUGGUGAUAAUUGUUAUUAAAUUAAUUACUUUGUAAAAUAAUAUUGAUCAAAAGAUGAAUAAGCUAAAUAGCGUGUUAAAUUUUAUUUUAUUUUAUUGUUCAUUGUUUUUUCUUAUUUUUAUUUUGUUAGUUACCUUAUUGAUUUUUUUAUAUCUAAUCAUGGGUGAAUUUUAUGGCACCCCAAAACUGGUCGGAACAAAACGGAACAGACCGACUUGAAUCUGGAAUGUCACAUUGCCA